GGAGUACAGUAUGCAGAAUGAGAACCAUUUGCCAGAGGGAGAACUUUUUGGCGGCAAGGCUGACCUUUUCCCAAAAAGGAUACUGCGAUAUUUUGUGCUAAUACUUGCACCAAUCCCCGGACUUACGUACGGGCGCGCUUAUUACAACAAGACCAUCGGGCUUGCCCGCUUUGGUGACCCUGAAUAAUUUCGCUGAUCGCAUGGUCUUGCACCGGUGACGCAUCGUUCGAGUGUCUGCCUUAUCAACUUUCGAUGUUAGUCCAUGUGACUAACAUGGUUGUAACGGGUACCGGAGAAUAAGGGUUCGACUCCGGAGAGGGAGCCUGAGAAACGGCUACCGCAUCCAAGGAAGGCAGCAGGCGCGUAAAUUACCCACUCUCAAUGCGAGGAGGUAGUAACUAUCAAUAACGAGGCAAUUCUCUUUGAGGCUCGCUAUCGGAAUGGGUACAAUUUUAACCCUUUAACGAGGGUCUAUGAGAGGGCGAGUCUGGUGCCAGCAGCGGCGGUAAUUCCAGCUCUGAAGGUGUAUAUCGCCAUUGCUGCGGUUAAAAAGGUCGUAGUUGGAUCUGAGUCUGUGGACCCGGUGCCACCAUGUGUGUAACUGUGCUCACGGACUGUUAUGCUGGUUUUCAGCGAUUGCCUUCACCGGGUAUUCCUUGUGGCUGGCGUGAUUACCUUGAAGAAUACAGAUUGCUCCAGACGAAGGUUUCC
rnacentral:rRNA from 1 species